rnacentral:lncRNA from 1 species
AGGAGAAGUUAAAAAUCCUUACAAGUGGUAUCAGAGCAAUCCAGGUUUGAGUGCUAGAAGGAUUAGGUUAGAAACUCAAUGAUGACGACACAAAAGAUGGAGGUGAGCAUGUUCAACGGAUCAGGUGAUUUUUUGAUCUGGAAGAAAAGGAUGCUCGCGUACUUAACCGUUCAAGGUUUGAAAGAUGUUCUUAUGGAACCGACAUCCAAAGACGUGGAUGAAAAAGAUCCAGAGGCAAUAAAGAAAAAGAGCAAAGAUGAAGCUUCCAGACUGGAGCGAGAUGAAAAGGCUUUGAAUCUUAUUUUCAUGUGUGUUGGAGAUCAUGUCUUAAGGAAACUAGACAAGUGUGUAACCGCAGCUCAAGCGUGGGCUACUCUUGAGAGGCUUUACAUGGCAAAGACUUUGCCUAAUCGGGUCCAUUCUCAGCUUAAGGUGUAUUCUUUUAGAAUGCAGGAUUCAAGAUCAAUUGAUCAGAAUGUAGAUGACUUCUUGAAGCUGAUUGCAGAUUUGAGCAACCUCAACAUUGAGAUACCAGAAGAAGUUCAAGCAAUACUGCUACUCAACUCUCUUCCCCCUAGAUAUGAUUCUUUAAAAUAUACUCUUAAGUAUAGUAGGGAAGCUAUUGAGUUGGAGGAAGUAGCUAGUGCUGCAAAAUCUAAGGAGAGAGAGCUGGCUGAAAAUGAAAAGCUUUCAAGAUCAGAUGGAGAAGGGUUAUAUGUUGAGGCUAGAGGCAGAUCAGAAAAGAGGUCAGAGAAUGGAAGAGGAAGGUCUAAGAGUAGAGGAAAGAAAAACAACAAAGGUUGCUUUGUCUGUGUAGAUGAAGGACAUUGGAAACGUGAUUGUCCUCAUAGAAAGAAAUCUGCAGAUUCUGCAAAUGUUGCAACAGAUUCAAAGGAACCAAUGGUGUUAAGUGUUAGCUCUCAAGAUACUAAGAAAGAAUGGAUUUUGGACUCGGGAUGUUCAUACCAUAGUACACCAGACAAAGAAGUCUUGUUUGACUUCAAGGAGUUUGAUGGUGGUAAAGUUUUGAUGGCUAAUAACACUCAUUAUGACAUCAAAGGAAUGGGAAAGAUUCAGAUUCAGAAUCCAAAUGGUUCUGUAGUGAUACUUAAGGAUGUGAAAUACAUACCAGAGGUGAGUAGGAAUCUUAUUUCUUAUGGGAUGUUAGAGAAAUCAGGUUGCAGAUAUGAUGGAGGUAACUUCAAGGUUCAGUUCUACAAAGGCAAGAAGAAAGUAAUAUCUGGAAAAUACCAAGGUGGUUUGUAUUAUUUUCAAGGUACAGUUUCUAAAGUUGACGUGAACAUGCCAAAAGCUGAGGUAGAAGUGAAAAAGAAGAAGUUAAAGAAGGUGACAUUCAGUGAGAAUCAUUCAAGGACCUACUCCAUAUCGUUUUGAAGCAAGAGAUUUAUUAGCUGAAGGUGGAGACUCUUCUUCGUCAGAAGGAUCUAAACAGUUGGCUGAAAUUAAGUCUAAGAAAGUUUCAAGGGAUUUGCAAGAAAUCAGAAGAUUUAAUGAAAAUCUGAGCAUGGAGUUUAAGGAGAAUGACGUGGGAAAGGUUUCAGAGAUAUUGGGCACAGGUAUUUUUGGAGGUAGAGCUAAAGGGGAUCUAGUUCUAUCUACGAUUCAAACAAGUCAAGACAUAGCAGAUUUGGUAAGUGAAGCAGUACCUGGACAAAAAGCUCAGGUUUGCUGCGAUCUUCUCAACCUAGCUUGAAGGGUGGUGCAGCUCCAGGUAACUAUAUUAUCGACGGUGUACUCUCGCAGGAAGAAGAACAUAGAAACAGGUCAGUUUUUUGGAGAUGUUCUUCAGUCGAUAAAGUAAAAUCAGUUUGAUUAAUGGGUUAAGGGAGUUACCUGGAGGCAACUGGAAUUACGGUGAGGACACUUUGAUUCCAGGUGGAGCUGUUGGGAGAUUCAAAGGAAUACAAGUUAGUAGUGUGUUCUUGAAUCUCGGAAGCAAGUCGAGAGUACAAGGUUCAGGUUAAGGGAUUUACCUGAGGUCAUCUAAGUAGCUGAGAACAUGAGCUGUUCAUCGGGAGAAGCUGCAAAGAAGAUGAAAUUGAGACUAUGGUUAGUUUCAGGUGGAGUAGCUGCAAGUGAUUCAAGAAGAGGUUGAUUCAAAGUUCAGUGCACAUGAUACGAAUCAACAGGUCGACAAAGAUGAAUCUAGUUUUCUGGAGAAGCUACAAAGUAUGAAAUUAGAAGAUUUCAUAGUGUCUCAGAAAUAUCAGUUGAUACAGAGACAAGCAAAGAUAGAUGGUUCAGGUCAAGAGGGUUACCUGGAAUCAUCGGAACAAUGAACAAGAUGAAGUGGUUUAGUUGCUACGAGGUUGUUCAUCAGUGAAGCUGCGUAAUGAACCGGUCGGAAUUUUUCCAAAAUUUCGUGAAUUGGGAAUCUCAGAAAGGGUCAAUUUCAAUCAUCACAGCAAGGAGAUGAAGACGAAAUUGAGAAUACCUGAGAUUACAGAAGAUUAUUGCGACAUAAGAAUUGCAGGAGAUGCAUUUUUUGGGUCGCAGAAAAUUUGCAUUUGAAAAUCACUAUCGGGAAGAAUCAAAGGAGUUAGAGCUUGGCGGCUUUGAGUGGGAAAGGGUGAGAGCACCGGCGGUCACCAGAGAAUAUCGGCGAAGGAGAGAUCACCAGAAACUGCAAAGAUGGUGGUCCGAGAAGGCAUCGAAACUGCAUAAGCGUGUUUCACCAUCGAGAAAGGAAGAAUGAGAGAGAGUCAUGAAUCUCUCUAAUUGCUUCAUACCAGUAUGGUGGAGGAUUUCAUCGCCGGAAGAAAUUCUGGUCAGAGAGAGUGACGGUGGUCGGAGUUGCAUCAAGUCUCUCGCCAUGGUGAAACGUCAGAAGGGAUCGUGAAGACAUCGCCCAAGGUGGAGAUUGUGAGGAAGAUGGGCUUCUAUCUUCACAUCUGGGCCUAUGAUUUGGGCUUGCUUUGUCAAGGUUUCAAGUGGAUCAAGAUUGAGUCCAAUAACAAAAGAGGAAGUCGUUGAUAAAACGGAAAG